rnacentral:rRNA from 1 species
AGUCGAGCGGGAACCGGGCCUUCGGGCCCGGGGACAGCGGCGAACGGGUGAGUAACACGUGGGUAAUCUGCCCUCGGUACUGGGAUAGCCCGGGGAAACCCGGAUUAAUACCGGAUGGCCCUUCGAGUCUUCGGGCUCGCAGGAAAAGGUAGCUUCGGCCUCCGACCGAGGAUGAGCUCGCGGCGGAUUAGCUUGUUGGUGGGGUAACGGCCUACCAAGGCGACGAUCCGUAGCUGGUCUGAGAGGACGAUCAGCCACACUGGGACUGAGACACGGCCCAGACUCCUACGGGAGGCAGCAGUGGGGAAUCUUGCGCAAUGGGCGAAAGCCUGACGCAGCGACGCCGCGUGAGGGAAGAAGGCCUUCGGGUUGUAAACCUCUUUCAGGAGGGACGAAGCUACUCGGGUGAAUAGCCCAGAGGGUGACGGUACCUCCAGAAGAAGCCCCGGCUAACUACGUGCCAGCAGCCGCGGUAAUACGUAGGGGGCAAGCGUUGUCCGGAUUUAUUGGGCGUAAAGAGCGUGUAGGCGGCUAGAUAGGUCCGUUGUGAAAACUGGAGGCUCAACCUUCAGCUGUCGAUGGAAACCAUCUGGCUAGAGUCCGGAAGAGGAGAGUGGAAUUCCUGGUGUAGCGGUGAAAUGCGCAGAUAUCAGGAAGAACACCCGUGGCGAAGGCGGCUCUCUGGGACGUGACUGACGCUGAGACGCGAAAGCGUGGGGAGCGAACAGGAUUAGAUACCCUGGUAGUCCACGCCGUAAACGAUGGGUGCUAGGUGUGGGCGGUGUCGACUCCGUCCGUGCC